rnacentral:misc_RNA from 1 species
GUUGACCACCCGGAGAAUUGAAUUAAGUAUAGUUAACCACAAGGGAACAGGAUCAAAGUUCAAGAAUGGAAUCCUCCCAGCGAGCUCAAGUAGAGAAGGAAUAUACAAUCCAACAUUUUGGAUUCGAUCCUAAUAUCCUAGUGGAGGAACUCACUUCUUUCAGCCUGGAUACACUAUCAUCACUUCUAGAUCAAGCGAAAGUUCAGAUAAAGACUAAGACGAGUGGAAAGUUCAAGGACGAAGAGCUGGAUAAAGGGAUCCAGGCGCUGCAGGAGAAAUACAGCGAGUACUUCGAGAGAAACCUGGAAACCCUGGGGGGAUACCUAGACAAGAAUGUAUUCAAGAUUCCUAAUCAUGUUCUCCUCCCUCAAGAUGCAGCCUGGAACGGACUCUCACUUCAGGUUGCGAAGUCCCGACUAACAGCUGUGACUAUGGAGAUGGAAAAAAUGCGUGAGAAAUAUAAAUCCUGUCUGUACAAGAAAACUUAUUUCAGAUCAUAUUUGGACAAAUUAAAACAAAUUUGUACAUCUCAAGAAGAAACAAUACAGCAAGAGGUUGAGUUGAAGGAAAAGCAUGGUUUAAUAGAAGGAGAAGAAACCGUCCUAUUCCUGGCCAGUCAAGCCUCUAAACUUCAAUCCACCCUGGCUUCCCUGAACCAGCUCGGACAGGGAACCAAGAGACCAGCUUCAGGAUCAGAGAUAUCACGGGACAAACGCCACAAGUUAGAACUGGAUUUUAAAACCAAGCUGACAUCUGUGAAGGCUGCGCAGCUCUCUUGUGCACAGUGAAAUUGUUUGGUGCAGUUCCUCAUAUUUGUGAUACUCUGAAACACGGACACUUUGUCACUUCAGUGAUAUAAUAUUUUUGUUAAUGAGCAAGGACUUUCGGCUACUGCAAUGUACAUAUCUCUUCAACUUGUAAACUACUCUGAUUAAAAUAAAACUGUAAGAUAUUAUUAUGUGAAGGUGAAAAGCACUGGAAAUUUCCCGGAACUGAUCGAACUUAGAGAGGACGGAACGUUCCAAUCCCUGAUAGAACGAAGAAGAACUGAUCGAACCAAAGGAACUCUGAAACGGAACAAAGAGAAAGGUUGGAACUGAGACGUUCUCAUUCUAAGGACUCUUGAAUAGUCCCACUCGAACGGAGACGAACUCGGAAAAACGUCCUUAGUCCUAGUGGAAACUCUGGAAUGGAAAGGAAUUCUUGAACUGAACUUGUCUAUGUCAACAUAAGUUUUCUUAUACCGAAAACCUCGGCUUAGAAAAUAAGUUUCUGUAACACUAACAAUUAAAUAUAUUAUAUUCUAAUGAAUAACAACUAUUGUUCAUACUUUCAUAAUUGCUUAUUAAAAUAAAAGUUACAUUGAAAAAAAUGGUAAA